rnacentral:rRNA from 1 species
UACCUACGCGGGGCAGCAGUGGGGGAUAUUGCACAAUGGGGGGAACCCUGAUGCAGCGACGCCGCGUGGGUGAAGAAGCGCCUCGGCGCGUAAAGCCCUGUCAGCAGGGAAGAAAAUGACGGUACCUGAAGAAGAAGCCCCGGCUAACUACGUGCCAGCAGCCGCGGUAAUACGUAGGGGGCAAGCGUUAUCCGGAUUUACUGGGUGUAAAGGGGGCGCAGACGGCGAUGCAAGCCAGGAGUGAAAGCCCGGGGCCCAACCCUGGGACUGCUCUGGAAACUGUAAAGCUGGAGUGCGGGAGGGGG